rnacentral:rRNA from 1 species
GACGAACGCUGGCGGCGUGCUUAACACAUGCAAGUCGAACGAUGAAGCUGGAGCUUGCUCCGGUGGAUUAGUGGCGAACGGGUGAGUAACACGUGAGCAAUCUGCCCUUGACUCUGGGAUAACUGCGGGAAACUGUAGCUAAUACCGGAUACGACACCUUGGGGCAUCCCAGGGUGUGGAAAGAAUUUCGGUCAAGGAUGAGCUCGCGGCCUAUCAGCUAGUUGGUGAGGUAAUGGCUCACCAAGGCGACGACGGGUAGCCGGCCUGAGAGGGUGACCGGCCACACUGGGACUGAGACACGGCCCAGACUCCUACGGGAGGCAGCAGUGGGGAAUAUUGCACAAUGGGCGCAAGCCUGAUGCAGCAACGCCGCGUGAGGGAAGAAUGCCUAUGGGUUGUAAAGGCUCUUUUACCAGGGAUGAUAAUGACAGUACCUGGAGAAUAAGCUCCGGCUAACUCCGUG